rnacentral:rRNA from 1 species
GAAGGGAUCUAGCGUAGUUCGGAAUUACUGGGCUUAAAGAGUUCGUAGGUGGUUAAAAAAGUUGGUGGUGAAAUCCCAGAGCUUAACUCUGGAACUGCCAUCAAAACUUUUUAGCUAGAGUAUGAUAGAGGAAAGCAGAAUUUCUAGUGUAGAGGUGAAAUUCGUAGAUAUUAGAAAGAAUACCAAUUGCGAAGGCAGCUUUCUGGAUCAUUACUGACACUGAGGAACGAAAGCAUGGGUAGCGAAGAGGAUUAGAUACCCUCGUAGUCCAUGCCGUAAACGAUGUGUGUUAGACGUUGGAAAUUUAUUUUCAGUGUCGCAGCGAAAGCAAUAAACACACCGCCUGGGGAGUACGACCGCAAGGUUAAAACUCAAAUGAAUUGACGGGGACCCGCACAAGUAGUGGAGCAUGUGGUUUAAUUCGAAGAUACGCGCAGAACCUUACCAACACUUGACAUGUUCGUCGCGACUCUAAGAGAUUAGAGUUUUCGGUUCGGCCGGACGAAACACAGGUGCUGCAUGGCUGUCGUCAGCUCGUGUCGUGAGAUGUUGGGUUAAGUCCCGCAACGAGCGCAACCCUCACUUUUAGUUGCCAUCAUUUAGUUGGGCACUCUGAAAGAACUGCCAGUGAUAAGCUGGAGGAAGGUGGGGAUGACGUCAAGUCCUCAUGGCCCUUACGUGUUGGGCUACACACGUGCUACAAUGGUAUUUACAACAGGAAGCAAGACGGCAACGUUAAGCAAAUCCCUAAAAAAUACCUCAGUUCGGAUUGCACUCUGCAACUCGAGUGCAUGAAGCUGGAAUUACUAGUAAUCGUGGAUCAGCGUGCCACGGUGAAUACGUUCCCGGGUCUU